rnacentral:lncRNA from 1 species
UUUUCUUCCCUCUUCACGCACAACAAUAAUCUAGAAUAAACUAUAGAGCUUGUCAAUCUAUUAUAAAUCUACAUGAAACCUGAAUACUUACAAUAAAAAUUGAAUUGAUACAAAAUAAAUGUGUAAAAAUGAAAUGCUUGUGGUUGCCAAGCUGGCCCAACAGGGACAAAGAUCCCAAUCUUAAAACCUGAAAGCACGGUGAGAUAAAGUUAGAAAAAUAUAUGCCAAGUUACUUCAACCGUUCUUUCAGUCAUACACGGUUAAAUCGGCCUAACUAAAUCAUGCAUGCAGUGCUGACUAAAUCAUGCAUGCAGUAAAGCUAUCUCGUUAUAUAUAGUCCUAGUUGCAGGUUCCAGUUCCACGCCCAUCCCAAAAAUUUCUGCUCAUACACAAGCACAAUCCUACUCAAAUCUGGUACAAGUUUUUGUUCAUACACAUCACAUCUUUCAAUGGAUAUCGGCCAUGCCAACAUCGGAGACAUACACUUACAAUGGACCGAAGAGGAUAAUCUAUGCCUGGUAAGUCAUUUGUUUAAUUAUUAGUAGUUACUAUAUCAUGAAAAGCUUGGCCUAACAACAUUUUCUGAAUUGAGUAGGUAAAUGCUUGGUUAAAUGUUCCCACUGAUUUUGUUAUUGGCAAUGAAAACACUGCACGGGAUUUUUGGAAUCAAAUCGCUGAAGAAUAUAACGCAAAUACCGCCGAUAAUCGAAGAAGACAACCUAUCCAAAUCAAACGCCGUUGGAGUAAGAUGAGCUCAGAAAUUCUGCUAUUCGAUGGCAUGUGGCGCAGGGUUGACGAUGCAUUCACAGCUACUGGACAAUAUAACCAGGACUUGGUUUCCAAAUCUCUAGAGAUGUAUAGGUUAGAACAAAAUCAAUCAUUCAAAUUUCUCAACAUGUGGAUGUUCAUACGGAACUAUCCCCAGUGGAAUGCAAUGUACUGUCGAGUCAAAAAGCCAUGAUUUAGAUAAUAAAUUGUUGUUCUCAUUCCAAGUUGUACUCCCCAAAUUUGUUUUUUUUUGCGAGUUUUUUUUUGGCGAUUCCCCAAAUUUCUUUUUAGGACUAUGUAAAUCAAAGAUCAGUCAGUUUGGAAUAUGCCAAAAGUUUAGAUCACCAAAUAUUGUUCUCAUAUGAUAAUUAAAAUUUCCUUCAUGCAAGUAUUGUUCUAUCCAGAAAGAACAUGGCGCCUACAGAUCCCCAUAUAUAGUUUCAUGUGUGCAUCUCAGCACCAACCAAAUCAAUAAUUCAGGGAUUAGUACAGCGAGGGGUACGGAGAUUACCUCGACGCCGUACGUGAUGGCGCUGCCGGGUGAGCUUGGUCGUCCUGUACGCCUCGUGCUCGAGUGCCGCU